CGUAGGGUGCGAGCGUUAAUCGGAAGUUACUGGGCGUAAAGCGUGCGCAGGCGGUUUGUUAAGAUAGGCGUGAAAUCCCCGGGCUCAACCUGGGAACUGCGCUUAUGACUGGCAAGCUAGAGUACGGCAGAGGGGGGUGAAUUCCACGUGUAGCAGUGAAAUGCGUAGAGAUGUGGAGGAACACCAAUGGCGAAGGCAGCCCCCUGGGUCGAUACUGACGCUCAUGCACGAAAGCGUGGGUAGCAAACAGGAUUAGAUACCCUGGUAGUCCACGCCCUAAACGAUGUCAACUAGGUGUUGGGAGGGUAAAACCUUUUAGUACCGGAGCUAACGCGUGAAGUUGACCGCCUGGGGGAGUACGGCCGCAAGGUUA
rnacentral:rRNA from 1 species